CCUACGGGUGGCUGCAGUGGGGGAUAUUGCACAAUGGGGGAAACCCUGAUGCAGCGACGCCGCGUGUGGGAAGACGGUCUUCUGGAUUGUAAACCACUGUCCCCAGGGACGAAAAUGACGGUACCUGGGGAGGAAGCUCCGGCUAACUACGUGCCAGCAGCCGCGGUAAUACGUAGGGAGCAAGCGUUGUCCGGAAUUACUGGGUGUAAAGGGAGCGUAGGCGGGGAUGCAAGUUGGGUGUCAAAACUACCGGCUCAACCGAUAGUCGCACUCAAAACUGCAGCUCUUGAGUGAAGUAGAGGCAGGCGGAAUUCCUAGUGUAGCGGUGAAAUGCGUAGAUAUUAGGAGGAACACCAGUGGCGAAGGCGGCCUGCUGGGCUUUGACUGACGCUGAGGCUCGAAAGUGUGGGGAGCAAACAGGAUUAGAUACCCGGGUAGUC
rnacentral:rRNA from 1 species